rnacentral:tRNA from 1 species
UUAGAAUUCCUAAUGUGGGUAACACAAAAAUAAAAAAUCUUAGAUAUUAAAAAUAGCACGGUGUCGUCUCCUGUCAAAGAUUUUCAUUGUAAUAUGAAACUUUGAAUAGUUACGGGUUUCUGUAAAGAGCUCACUAUAGACGGCGCCACGGUUCGCUUAAACCGAAAUUAAAAAGUAUCAUAUCGAAAAUUUCGCUCGAGCGGGUGUAUCGUUCCAUAGCUUAAUUGGCUAGAGCGCCGACACGGUACGUCGGAGACGCGGGUUCGAACCCCGCUGGAGCGGUCAAUUUUUGAUAUGAUAUUCAAAAUUCUCGGAAGGGGGGGGGGAGGGGUU